AAGUCGAACGCAGUAGCAAUACUGAGUGGCAGACGGGUGAGUAACAUGUGGGAAUCUGCCUUGUGGUUCAGGACAACAUUGGGAAACCGAUGCUAAUACUGGAUAAGCCCUUACGGGGAAAGUUUUAAUGCCAUAAGAUGAGCCCGCAUUUGAUUAGUUAGUUGGUGAGGUAAUGGCUCACCAAGACAAUGAUCAAUAGCUGAUCUGAGAGGAUGAUCAGCCACACUGGGACUGAGACACGGCCCAGACUCCUACGGGAGGCAGCAGUGGGGAAUCUUGCACAAUGGAGGAAACUCUGAUGCAGCGAUGCCGCGUGAGUGAAGAAGGCCUUUGGGUUGUAAAGCUCUUUUGUAGGGGAAGAUAAUGACUGUACCCUAAGAAUAAGGUCCGGCUAACUUCGUGCCAGCAGCCGCGGUAAUACGAAGGGACCUAGCGUAGUUCGGAAUUACUGGGCGUAAAGCGCGCGUAGGCCGUUGAGUUAGUUAAUUGUGAAAUCCCAAAGCUUAACUUUGGAACUGCAAUUAAAACUGCUCGACUAGAGUUUGAUAGAGGAAAGCGGAAUACAUAGUGUAGAGGUGAAAUUCGUAGAUAUUAUGUAGAACACCAGUUGCGAAGGCGGCUUUCUGGAUCA
rnacentral:rRNA from 1 species